rnacentral:rRNA from 1 species
AUUGAACGCUGGCGGCAGGCUUAACACAUGCAAGUCGAACGAGUGGCGGACGGGUGAGUAAUGCUUGGGAAUCUGGCUUAUGGAGGGGGAUAACUACUGGAAACUGUAGCUAAUACCGCAUACCAUAGGAUGAGCCCAAGUGGGAUUAGGUAGUUGGUGGGGUAAAGGCUCACCAGGGCGACGAUCCCUAGCUGGUCUGAGAGGAUGACCAGCCACACUGGAACUGAGACACGGUCCAGACUCCUACGGGAGGCAGCAGUGGGGAAUAUUGCGCAAUGGGGGCAAGCUGAUGCAGCCAUGCCGCGUGAAUGAAGAAGGCCUUCGGGUUGUAAAGUUCUUUCGGUGGCGAGGCGUUAACUACAGAAGAAGCACCGGCUAACUCCGUGCCAGCAGCCGCGGUAAUUC